rnacentral:lncRNA from 1 species
GUUAGAAGUCGGCAUUCAACUAUGUUUUACACUAAGACUCUUUUCAUGUUGUACUUCCAUAAAUCAUGAUUCCAACCAACGCUUAUAUGCCAACAAAACAAAAUUAACUAGGAAUACCAUACCACUGAUGGUGAUGAUGUGUUUUUAGAGGAUUUGAACCCACUUUGACAACUAGAAUGAACAACUAUUAAGAUAUUGGGAAAAAACCAAGAGUAUGGUUUAGAUUAAUUGUGAUAAAAAAAUUAGCAAGUGUCAAAGAAGUGUGUAUUCAUUAACGUGGGGUAGGUUGCGACAUAUGUACCCGAAAGGAUUGUUUUGUUUAUCCGUGCGCUAGUGACUAAUGUUAAUCUUGGGGGAGGAGCGAAUGUCUGGAGCGGUCAGGAUAACAGAUGACAAGAUGGGAUGGACGUCAGAAUCCUAGGAAGUCAACUUUGAUCAACGAUGGAUUAGGGACUAAAGUUAGAGAGGAGUCGAGUUCCGGAU